CGCCCCUGCACGGUGGGUGGGGACCCUAAAUAACAAUAUUGUUAUUUAGGGUCCCCACCCACCGUCCAGGGGCG